AAGCAUUCAGUUUAAGUAAAACUUUUUGUUUAAUAAAAACUCAUUUAAUUCUAGUUUGACAUACAGUACAUGACAGAACUAAAUUUCCACGCAAUAUAAAUUGUUCAAAGAACUGGUUAAAUCAAACAAAGAGAUCCAAAACUUUUUUAGUGCAUCGUUUUUUAAAGAUUGGAGCAACAAUCCCUAUAUCUGUCGCUUCAAGUGAACGCUCGUUUUCCUCACUUCGCAGGCUUAAAACACAUUUAAGAAAUAAAACUGGAGAAGCACGCCUGAACGGAAUGGCUCUCUUGAAUAUCCAUAGAGAUGUAGACGUGACGGAGGAAGAGAUUUUAAAUGUUAUGGCCCAAAAUAAAAGAAGAUUAGACUUCAAUUUGUGAAUAAAAUAAUGAAA